UUUUUCCCUCCUUAAGCGACGCCUACCCGGAGCCAGAGGGGCAGAGCUUGGUCCCGGGACGGCCGCAGGACGCCCCCGGGCGCUGCCCCGGCAGGGCCGGGCGGGAUGCGGGAAGAUGCGCCCCCUCCGCCGGCACUGCCCCGACCCCUGGCGGCCGCGCACAGCGCAUCGCCCAGCUCAGCGCCAAGUCCCGCUCAAGUCUCGCUCAAGCCCGGCGCGGCAGAACACGAGAAACUUCCAAGUACGAACCGUUUAGAAGCAAUGUUCCGAAUCAAAAAUAGCUUACAAAUGUCAUUCUAAAAUGUUUUGCAACAUAGAGCGUGAGAAGUGAUCUUUUCAUGCCUUCCCAGUGGGAAUCGAGGCUAUCUGUCUCGUGUAGAUCCAGAUCUGUAGAGUAUCAUCUGUGACACGAAAAUAUGAAGGGAAAUGAGCUACUACCUGCUUACUGCAGCUGUUGAGGCAGUCUGGGGCAUCAGCUUCACUCAAGGGCAAAUGGUCCUACUAUAGCAAGAGACAGACUCAAGGUAUUGUCCAAUUUACAGACACAGGCCAGUCAUUUUCAAAAAGUUAAAAUUUAGUUUUUGAAUUGGGAUGAUUAAACGCCAACAUUUCAUUUUGUUUCACUUAUCCUGUACUCAAGGUGGUGGCUAAGAAAGGUGUAGAGCACAGGUAAGUCAGGCAAUAAGCAAAGCAAGCCUUCCAGCAGAACAAGCACUGUUCCACUGUCUCCACCCUGAAGAGCUGUUCAAGCAGCAGGAUCUUCACACUGAGAGAAGCAGAGGAGAAGCAAUGUGUCUGGUGCUUCAAGGCCUGGUGCGCGGCGAUGACUGCCACAGGGCAGGAAAGUGGAUGAGCCAGCCAGCAAGGUAAUGCAUGCUCAGCCUACUAAUAUUUGUGGAUAAAAUGAAAAGAGCAGCUGUGAAAGGAAAACUAAAGGUACAGUCUUUAAAUUUUUACCAUCAACACUUCCAAGUAAUCUGCCAGACUGGGUGAAGUCCUUUGAAAAUCAAGGGCACAACUUCUUUCAAAUUAGAAAAAUUCAAAUAUGUCUGACUACUAUUAAAUUGAACAGAGGAAUAAAAAUUAUUAUGUGGCUGUCACUAAUUAAAGCAAUAAUUAGUGAGAUGUUGACCUAUUUUAAAGAUUUAUACUUCCUCAUCUCUCCUCUGUAGAGGAUUCUAAGGGCCAAUCAGAAUAAAUCAUUUCCUUGAAAAGAGCGCCAAAAUCCCAAAAGAAAACAGAAAAAUCCAUGGGUUUUUCUUCUUUUCAUUUCUUUCGCUCAAUUUCAAACAAUUAAAAUGUCAGAUUCCCCACAUUAGUCAGACCGGUGACAUCAGCGAUAGGUUUCAGGUCAUGAGUAUUUAAGAAAUACGUAGAAACCUCUCAGGUAAAAAGAAAGAAGUGUUAAUUUUAUCUUGGUAAGUGUAAAAUCAAAACAAUAUAUGUGCCUGUUCAGAUAGAUCUUCUGCACUUAUAUGUUCACAAACUUAAUUUUAGUAAGCUUGACUGUUUAGCAAGAUGUUGCACUCUUAGAUCAAGAGCCAGGUUUAAACAUACAUGGUCAAGAUUUGAAGCACAUAGGAUGCAAUACACAUUUCAAAAGGAAUUCCAUCCUUCCCUAAAUGAAGUGUUGAUUUAAGAUGGCGCUGCAGCACAUACUGCAGUCCCCAGCCGUGCUUCAGAUCCAUAGCUACUUACUGGAAUACGAGCCCCGCUAACUGCCAGGACAGGACAAACACUCUGGGACUGUUGAAUCCCUUUGAACUGAAGGUUCAUACUACUAACACAGCAAUGGCCUGACCAAGGUCAGUGUUCACACUACAUUAUUAGUGCAGUCAAUUAAGUGCAUCCAAGUACUUCCUAAUAAUAUACACACAAUAAAAACAGAGCAUUAAUCCUGCAUAAAGAGAAAUAAUACAUAAUAAUAGCAGAGUCGGCCCAGAAACACUUUUCUGUAUCUAUGAAAAAUGUAGGGCUUCUGGAAUACUGUGUGAGAAAGAACACAAUCACUUUACUGAAUGGGAAUAAUAGAAACAAAACAAAUGUCGCUUGAGAACAUGGAACAUCAUGGUCUGGAAUAAAUGAAACUGUUUCAUGUUGUAAGUUAGGACUACAAGUGUCUGGAAACAGAGGGAGGAAGAGGACUUGGGGUAUUAUUUUGUUGCAUAAUAUCUGUAUGCCACAUGUGUGAUAUACACAUGGAAAAAAAAAAGCUAGUGGGAUACUAUUAGAGGAAAUUAUUUUAUGCUAUAACCCUAGAUGUAGGCAAGCUUUCAUUGGGAUUAUGUCGCCCCAUUAAUCGUGGUCAAACAAAAGGCUACUAAGAUAGCAAAGAGGAUGAAGAAUCUCCAGUCAUGAACUGAUCACAAGAACUUGAUUUGUCAGCUCAGCAAAGUGAAGUCAGAGGGGAAGUAUGACAGCUUUUGGCAAAUAUCAGAGGACAAACAAUGCUAGGAUAGGCAAAGAAGUCAUUGUACUACUAGGAUGCUAGCACUAAUGUUACCUUGAAAAAAAAUGCAACUCCCUAACCUAAGCAUAAAGGGAAUUAAAUUAAUAGAUAGCCUUCUCAUAAACUGGUGGAGGACAAGAAAAAAUCAUUUGAAGAGUGAGUAACUGAAUUCACUUACUAGGAAGAGUAUUCUGACUGUUUUCUGCUGAAAUCUAAAAAAAAAAAAUAAAAAAAAAUAGAAUAGGUCUCAGCCUGGAUCAAGAAAAAUAUUUCUUAUGUAUUUAGGAGCUCAAAAUCUAUGAAAAUUUUAAAAUAAGAGUAUGUUUUGAAAGGGAACUAGAGAAAGAACGAGAACAAAAGAGAAAGAGGAAGAGACGGAAAAAAAAAGGAGAAACAAAGAGAAAUAGGAAGAAACUGAGAGAAGGAAGGAAGAGAAGUAUUUUCAAAUAAAAGAAAAUGUUCACAACAAGGUGUUUUAAUCCAUUAAUUCAAGGUGAAUUUUUGAACUGGGUAAAUUAACAAAAUGUACAAUUUCACUGCUUGGUUUCAAUGAGUCAGCAAUUUUUUAUUACACAUAUUAUUAAAAAAUUCUAAGUGCACUGCUAUAUGAACAACCUCUGUUCUUCUUUGAAGUGUUCCUUCUGUCACUAUGUGAAACUUGCAUAAUAAGAUACAUUUUAAUAUGUCAAUAAUAUUGUAAGCUUAUAGGAACAGAAAAUCCAGGUAUGUUAUGGUUGUUCUAAAAUUACUGGAAAUAAAUUCUCUAAAUCAAAGAAUUCAAAAGCUUUUUCUUUUUUUUCAUUUUUCUGAUUUUAAGCAAAGAUAUAAGGAAAAUGCAAAGAUGAGUUGUUUACAGGUUUUGUAGAUUGACAGAAGAACAUUUAGCAAGGUUUAUGUUAUACUAACUGCAAGCAAUCAAAGGAACACAGGUCCUGGAUGUUUAUGAUUCGGAACACAGAUAUAUUGUUUUUGUCUGCGUGGUGAUUUGCAUACAGGCAUAUAGAGAUUAAAAAUAUGGAUAAAUCAAUGCACCCCAGAUACCAACUAUAUUAACGUUAAUCCAUUUUCAAAGAAUUAGCAGUCCAUAAAGACAUGUUACGUCAUGUUAUAAAUUUCAGCAAUACAUAAACUUCUUUCUUUUUUUUAUUUUCUCUCAAUUUUGGAGACAAAGAACACAUCAGAGAAAAGUCAUCUAAGGAUGCAAAAUCUUAAGGAAUCCUAAAUACACGAAAACAAGAAGUUAGAAAUGAAAACACCUGACUGUUUUUACCAUCUUAAACUACAGAAAAACACUGCCACCUUUGCAGAUACAACACAUGAGCCUGCAAGAUGAAGGCUAUUCUGUGGUUCACGUGUGGAUGUGAAGGAACAAAGAUUACCCAAGCUCACCUGCAUGGAAACUGUGAAACUGCCUGGAAAAUUUGGGGAAUACUGAGCUGAGCAUUUAUUAGGAAGACUGCCACUGAUUCUGAGUAAAAAUGAAGAAUGAAUUUCUAUUCAAACUUACGUGAAGAGAAAUAAUUCUGCAACCUCAGAAGUUUAUAGAGCAAUAUGGAGAAGCACAGAAAUGAGACAAAUAGUUCAAAGUACAAUAGAACGGUGAAAAGUACUUUAUUUUUAAUUUAUAAUGCGUUUUCUUAUGUUGCCUGUGUUCAUCUUUUUGUGUUCAGCUUAAGACAGUUGUACAAACAAAUUUCUUUAACAUUUUGUGGGCAAACACAAAAAUCAAUAGAUUUUUAUGUCUCCACAUGCACAUGGUUUUGUUCAAUUUAUUCAAGCACUCACCCUCUCAGAAAGUAAGAACAAUUUUGUCCAGCAAGCAAGAACUACAAACAGGUCCCAAGUGAUUAAGGGAUGCCUUUGAAGAACCUUUUUCUGGUGAAAACUUGUCAGCAGAAGUUGUGUUUGUUGGAUUCUUGACUGCAGGAUAUUUCUUCCUUGAGCCACAUGACGUAGGAUGAAGGGCAGAGGAGACACUGAUUUGGGAUAAACCUGGAGGACUGGGACUGCAGUUCCAGCCCAAAGCCUAACUUGAAGGAAGGAAUAUGAGUCUGAUAAGGAACAGGAGGACAAAUCUUUCCUUCUUAUUAUAUGUGCCCAGAUCUGGAAUUUAGAAAGACCAAUAAAGGCAAGCAGUAG